AGUAAGGAAUAUUGCGCAAUGGGCGAAAGCCUGACGCAGCGACGCCGCGUGGGGGAUGAAGGUCUUCGGAUUGUAAACCCCUUUCGGGAGGGAAGAUGGGAUGGGGUAACCCAUUCGGACGGUACCUCCAGAAGCAGCCACGGCUAACUUCGUGCCAGCAGCCGCGGUAAUACGAAGGUGGCAAGCGUUGUUCGGAUUUACUGGGCGUACAGGGAGCGUAGGCGGUUGGAUAAGCCCUCCGUGAAAUCUCCAGGCUUAACCUGGAAAGUGCAGAGGGGACUGUUCAGCUAGAGGAUGGGAGAGGAGCGCGGAAUUCCCGGUGUAGCGGUGAAAUGCGUAGAGAUCGGGAGGAAGGCCGGUGGCGAAGGCGGCGCUCUGGAACAUUUCUGACGCUGAGGCUCGAAAGCGUGGGGAGCAAA
rnacentral:rRNA from 1 species